rnacentral:rRNA from 1 species
ACUCAAAGGAAUUGACGGGGGCCCGCACAAGCGGCGGAGCGUGCGGUUUAAUUCGAAGCAACGCGCAGAACCUUACCAGGGCUUGACAUGUCACUGCAGAGCCGUGAAAGCGGUUGGCCUUCGAGGGUGUGACACAGGUGCUGCAUGGCUGUCGUCAGCUCGUGUCGUGAGAUGUUGGGUUAAGUCCCGCAACGAGCGCAACCCCCGUGGUCAGUUGCCGAUGUUUCUGACCAGACUGCCGGUAGCAAGCCGGAGGAAGGUGGGGAUGACGUCAAGUCAGCAUGGCCCUUACGUCCUGGGCGACACGCACGCUACAAUGGCCGGGACAACGGGUUGCCAAGCCGCAAGGCGGAGCCAAUCCCCCAAACCCGGUCUCAGUUGGAAUCGUGGGCUGCAACCCGCCCACGUGAACGUGGAGUCGCUAGUAACCGCGGGUCAGCACUACCGCGGUGAAUACGUUCCCGGGCCUUGCACACACCGCCCGU